rnacentral:misc_RNA from 1 species
AACAUCGCGCACCUGCGGGAACCUGCGGAGGGAUCAUUACCGAGUUUACAACUCCCAAACCCCUGUGAACAUACCUAUACGUUGCCUCGGCGGAUCAGCCCGCGCCCUGUAAAAAGGGACGGCCCGCCCGAGGACCCUAAACUCUGUUUUUAGUGGAACUUCUGAGUAAAACAAACAAAUAAAUCAAAACUUUCAGCAAUGGAUCU